rnacentral:misc_RNA from 1 species
GAAAUGCGAUAACUUAUGUGAAUUGCAGAACCCUGUGAAUCAUCGAAUCCUUGAACGCAAAUUGCACUCUUGGGACCUCCUGAGAGUGUGCCUGUUUGAGUGUCGGUAAUUUUUCAAAAAACAAUCACAUUUAUUUGUGUAAAUGGUUAUUCGAAAAUAAAUUCUCUCUAUUUUCGAUAAACUAAAGUAAAUUAUGAUUGGUUAAUAAAAUAUGAAUAUAUUUUAUUUAAACCUCAGAAAGAAUUACUAAUAAACUAACCCAAGUGGUUUCUAUUUUUUUCAAUAAAAAAAAAUAUGAAUUCCUUGGUUAAUUUAUUUUCUUUUUUGAGGUAUAAAUAUAUAUAUAUAUAUUUAUUAACUCUUUACCAAGAUAAUAUUCUAAUAUGGAUGGAAAUCAUCAUCUAUAUUAGAAAAUUAUUUUAAAAAACAAAAAUCUCGACCUCAAAUUAGGCAAGAUUACCCGCUGAAUUUAAGC